rnacentral:miRNA from 1 species
UUUCCCAAUCCACCCAUGCCU